CAUUAGUUUGUGCUUUUACCAUCAUGAUGCUCUUCUUGGUGGUUGAAACGUUUCGUGCUCCAAAGAGUAAGCUCAUAGCUAGAAAUUGGGGCCCACAAUCAAUGCUAUACCUGAAAGGACGAUGUAAGUUAUGUUUGUUCUCUCAUUUUCAAAAAUAAAUACGCAAUAACUAUCUAGUAAAUGAAUAAUUUC
rnacentral:lncRNA from 11 species